GGGCUGUGAGCUGGUGCGGCAGACAGAGUGCCCAGGUCCCUCUGCUGGGCCACUCACACCCAUGCGUGUGCACCCAGUGGGGUUCUGGGUCUGGCCUCCUUGCCUCUGUGAACCAGACCCCAGACCCCGAGGGCUCCUGUGCCUGCAGGGAGGGAGCACCUUUAAUUGCUGCUCUGUGGCACUUUUAAAUUGCUGGGAUGGCUGUGCAUGAACAGCAUUUGUGUGCCUAACACUUUUCAAACAGUGCAAACAUGAGACCCUGAUUAAGGGGAGAGGUUUAGGGCCGGACCGGAGACCCAGCUCUCCGACCCGAGAACCGCUGCCGUAGCUCGCUCUCCAAGUUGUCUCCUGGCCCAGCCUCUGAGUGUUGCCUCCUUCAUCCCUUCUUUACUUCUUAUCUACGGUUCAGUCCAUGUGACUUGGCUGUUGUUCAUCCGCCUAAAACACUUGCGUUGCUUCCGAGAAGAGAUUUUACUCAGGCUCCUGGACCUUCUCUGGGCCCAUCAGGGCCCUUCCCUAUAAGAGGUAGUUUGAGCAGGACCCCUGCUGGGUCUGUUUAACUAGCACCCCUCCCCCCGGCCUGCCUUCAGCCAGAGUCCUGUUAGGUUGGUUUAGCCAGAGCCGCUGGCACCUGACGUUUCCUCUUGGUGUUUUCCACCCUCUGACCCCUCCUGGCCCUGGGUUGAGCCCCAUCUCGCUCCCCACUGUUAUCCCUUGGCAGCGUCCCGCCGAGACGGUCCUGAAUCAGGUCUGCCUUUCCAGCUUCAACAAGUGUCACUGAUACAAACGCUCAGGAUGCACUUGCUGUGUGCCAGACACUCUCCUAAACAGCUCUCUGCAUCUGUCGGCUUCAGUCCUCAGAGAACCCUCAGUAAGGGGCUGUUACCCUCCCUUCAUCCUCCAGUUUCCUGCGUGUUACCGCUGAGGGCCAGUUGGGUAACUUGCCCAGGGCCAGCAGCCGGUGAGUGGUAGAGCUGAGAUUUAAACCUUGGUCCGUGCUCGUGGUGCUACGCUGCAUCUCAGGAGAAGCGCACAGGAGUGAUAAACCCCACAGGGCAGUGACCAUGACUCCAGCGUGGGGGCGGGGUGGGGUAUACAGCCCAGGAGGGCAGGGGAGGAGCCUUUGGUGAAAUGGGCAGCAUUUUCUUUCUUUCUUCUUCUUUUUUUUGCUUUUUUGCUUUUUAGGGCCAAACCAGCUGGCAGCUGUAGCUCCAAUUAGACCCCUAGCCUGGAAACCUCCAAAUGUUGAGAGUGCGGCCCUAAAAAGCCAAAAAAGAAAAAAAAGAAAAAAAAAAAAAAGAAACCAAUGUCUUGGGUAAUAGAAUGGGAACACCUCACUGCACUGGGCACCCCACACUCCCCUGCUCUGUUAAGGUUCCGAUGAGCAACAUGGUAGAUCGCAGCCGGAGCAGAACCUCCCAGGUCCAGAGAACAAGACGAGGAGGGUGUUGCUGCUGCUGCGGGCUGUGGCUGCCGUGGUCCUCUUACCUGUGAAGGUGAUGCCAGGCAGGUCCCCUGGAGCCUGCACACACAGGUUCUUGAGCAGGGUCACCUGCUUGAGUUUAAACAGCCAGUGAUGGUCACAGCAGCUCAACUCUCUGUGAGUUUGCGAUCCAAGGAUCCUGUCUCUAGAGAACUGCCCGAAGCUGGAGGCCCCAGACUGCACAUGCGCUGCAGCCAGACAGGAGCACCGUAGAUUCUCCCCCAGAGGCUCCCCUGAGGGUUCCUCUAGCUCUUGGCCAAGUGAUGGAAUCCAGAAUCUUCACAAAGGCCAUGCCUGCCUCUCCAGCCGUCUGCCCAGCAGCUCUGCCUUUGGGCACCGAGUCCCAGCCACACCAGCCGUGUUGUAAACCUUGAAAGUACGGAAGCCCUUUCCUAUCUCAGGACCCCCGUCCGCCCCUGUCCCAGCUGUGGGAGUGGCUUACCCCUCCCUUCCUCAGGGCAGCUUUCUCUGAGUCCUAACCUAAGUUAGGGUCUUUUCUCCCAGCACUUUUCAUCGUGCAACUUGUGUAUUUGUGGAAUCAUUUUUUUUUGGCAGCACCCACAACAUAUGGAAGUUCCAGGGCCAGGACUCGGACCCCUACCAGGGCAGUGACUCAAGCCACUGCAGUGACAGUGCUGGAUCCUUAACCUGCUGCACCGUAGGGAAACUCCUGGGGAAUCAUUUUAAGAUAAUAUCUCUUACUGGGCUAUGCACUACAAGGACGAGAACCAUAUCUCUUUAUUUUUCCUCAGUGCACCCAGUGCCUGGCACAAAACAGGCACUCAUUGAGUAUUCCCUAAGGCAGGAAAUGAGAGGAUAGUGAUACUGACCCAUGUCGUGAGGGUGAAAAUGAUAGGCAGAUAACGUGAGAAAAACGAGUUUGAACCCUGUUUACCCUGCCCAGCUUUCCUUAUUUUCGUGCACAGCGCUUACCACCUUCUGGUGGCCGUCUGUGACCCAUCGUGUUUACUGUCAUCUUCCCCAGCGAGGUGUGAGCACAGGGCUGGGAGUCUGCCUCUGUUCCCUGGAGCAGUGGCCGGCUGGGGAAAGGCUAAGGGUGUAUAAAGCACCAUCUUGGACUGAGAGAGGAGCUGGGUGGUCUCAGGACUUGGAGGAGUGUAGCAAAGGCGGAAGCAGUUACCAAGAGGAUUUGGGCAGACCACACUGGACUGUAAGGGGAGUUCUGGGCAGCUGGAGGGGCUUUGAAUGGAUGGAAUAAGCAGGGACAGACCUGUCACUUUCUGAGCCUGCCGUUGGGAGCACUCUGAAAACCAGACUGCUGGUUGGGAAGGUCCAGAAGUGUGGAUGGCAGGGUGAUAGGAAGGCCAGCGGGCCUGGGCCUGGGCAGCGUAAAGCGGCUGGAGGAGCAGGAGAGGGACUGAGGCCCUCCAGCGGGAGCGAGGGCCAGAGGCUGGGCCCGCGAGGGGUGAGGGGCAGUGCAGACGCCACAAGAGGAGCUCCUUCUAAACGGGGUCCGAAGAGCCCUGGCGGGGCCGUCUCAACUUCCUGCCCGUACUUCAGCCUCUUGUAGAAGAGCAGUUAUAGGAAUCUAGAAAGUUCUUUGGGCCCUGUAAUUACCGUUGUGGCGCAGUGGAAGCGAAUCUGACUAGGAACCAUGAGGCUGCGGGUUCCAUCCCUGGCCUCGCUCUGUGAGUUAAGGAUCCAGCAUUGCCAUGAGCUGUGGUAUGGUAUAUGGGUUGCAGACGAGGCCCAGAUCGGGCGUUGCUGUGACUGUGGUAUAGGCCCAAGACCACAGCUCUGAUUGGACCCCUAGCCUGGGAACCUCCAUAUGCCACGGGUACAGCCCUAAAAAGACAAAAGACAAAAAAA
rnacentral:lncRNA from 1 species